rnacentral:rRNA from 1 species
ACACUCCUGCGGGAGGCAGCAGUGGGGAAUAUUGCACAAUGGGCGCAAGCCUGAUGCAGCCAUGCCGCGUGUGUGAAGAAGGCCUUCGGGUUGUAAAGCACUUUCAGCGGGGAGGAAGGCGAUACGGUUAAUAACCGUGUUGAUUGACGUUACCCGCAGAAGAAGCACCGGCUAACUCCGUGCCAGCAGCCGCGGUAAUACGGAGGGUGCAAGCGUUAAUCGGAAUUACUGGGCGUAAAGCGCACGCAGGCGGUCUGUCAAGUCGGAUGUGAAAUCCCCGGGCUCAACCUGGGAACUGCAUUCGAAACUGGCAGGCUUGAGUCUUGUAGAGGGGGGUAGAAUUCCAGGUGUAGCGGUGAAAUGCAUAGAGAUCUGGAGGAAUACCGGUGGCGAAGGCGGCCCCCUGGACAAAGACUGACGCUCAGGUGCGAAAGCGUGGGGAGCAAACAGGAUUAGAUACCCGAGUAGUCCCAUG